rnacentral:lncRNA from 1 species
GAGACUGCUGGGGCUGGUGCUGGCAGAGUGUGCUGCACCGCACCGGCCUGACCCAGCUAUCAGGAGAGCAAGGACAGCAGAGGGGAGGAAAGCACUGCCCGCACAGGGCACAGUGCUCUGCAGCAGCUGUGUGCCAUCGCGGACGCCUGGCUGCACAUCCCACUGGUAAUCCCUCAGAGCCAGAGUAGAAGACAGGAAAAAGAGAGGCAUGGAGAGAAAAGGAGGGAGGAGAAAGGAAGGGAAAAUGAAACGUCAGCUGCUGCAAACUCACCCAGUUCCUCCCCCAUGAAGCAAGCUGUGUGGGGGCACAGGUAUCAACAUGUGGGUUUUUAGCAGCAAGAGGAAAGGAAACUUUCUAUUGCCACCUAAUGCAAGGCUGAAGAUAAGGAAAAAUAAAAAACACCUUUACAUCCA